AGCCAGACUCCUACGGGAGGCAGCAGUGGGGAAUAUUGCACAAUGGGGGAAACCCUGAUGCAGCGACGCCGCGUGAGCGAUGAAGUAUUUCGGUAUGUAAAGCUCUAUCAGCAGGGAAGAAGAUGACGGUACCUGACUAAGAAGCCCCGGCUAACUACGUGCCAGCAGCCGCGGUAAUACGUAGGGGGCAAGCGUUAUCCGGAUUUACUGGGUGUAAAGGGAGCGUAGACGGCGAUGCAAGCCAGAUGUGAAAGCCCGGGGCUCAACCCCGGGACUGCAUUUGGAACUGUGUGGCUGGAGUGUCGGAGAGGCAGGCGGAAUUCCUAGUGUAGCGGUGAAAUGCGUAGAUAUUAGGAGGAACACCAGUGGCGAAGGCGGCCUGCUGGACGAUGACUGACGUUGAGGCUCGGAAGCGUGGGGAGCAAACAGGAUUAGAUACCCUGGUA
rnacentral:rRNA from 1 species